rnacentral:rRNA from 1 species
UACGUAGGGAGCGAGCGUUGUCCGGAUUUACUGGGUGUAAAGGGUGCGUAGGCGGGUUUGCAAGUCAGGCGUGAAAUCCCACGGCUCAACUGUGGGGCUGCGCUUGAAACUGUAGAUCUUGAGUGAAGUAGAGGCAAGCGGAAUUCCUAGUGUAGCGGUGAAAUGCGUAGAUAUUAGGAGGAACACCAGUGGCGAAGGCGGCUUCCUGGGCUUUAACUGACGCUGAGGCACGAAAGCAUGGGGAGCAAAC